ACUCCCAGCUCCUGGGCCCUUUGACUGUGGGGAGGGGAGAGGAAGCAAGCAAGCCCAGCCAGAUACACAGCCCACCUGAACCCCUACCCUGGGAGGGAGAGAGCACCUAUGAAUCAGCAGCUAAGGGAGUGUCGUAGUCAACUUCCAGCAGUUGAAGGAUGCACAGCUUCCUCGUGGUCCAUGGCACUUGCUCUCUGAAGGGCAGCUCUUGAGAGGGAGCGUCUCAAAGAAAAGGACCAGCAAAGUGGAAGCAGCCAAGCAAACAACUUUUAAAUUGACGAGCCUAUGCAGAACCCCUUUGGUCUAAAUGAAAUCUGUAUUUUGUGAUACGCUGCUGCAUCCAAUCCUUUCCAAAAAAUCUUCCAAAAUCAGCUCUCACUUAAUGUACGAAUCUCUCGGGAGAACUUCCAAACAGGAGGAUCAGCUGGAGGUAACAGUCGAACACGAACAGGCAUCUGUAAACAAACUGGUGUAGUAAACAAUACUUUUAACUAACCUCCUCCUAGGCAUGAAAUUUUGGAGGGCCCUUUUUAGUUUAAAUUAGAGGGAGAGAACUGGCUUGCCAAACAGGAUUGUAUAGACUCUGAUGGCUGUAACCAUUACUAAACCAGAAAUAAUAUUGAAUGUGGUGCAAGUACAUCCUAGUGCCCAAUGGAUAUUUGUUCACAUUGCACAGUUUGGCUCAGUUCAACAUGCUUGGCAGCCUCUAUCCAAAAGAAAGGCCAAGAACUGGAAUAGCAGAAGGGCUACAGGUCAAGAUUGUGAUUCAUUGGCAGACCUGUGUGAGGAAGCUUGCACAGCGCUUGUCUGCAUUAUGCUUGGCUCCAGCUAGAGCUGUCAGUCCUUUAUUUCCAUGGGCACUAAAUGCAUCCCAAAAGUAAAAUAUGUAUUUGUGUGACUGUCUAUGCUGCAUGCAGUGAAAUAAGCAUGUGACACUUACCAAGAAUUUAAAUGCCAGAGUCAGAUAGCCUUACUCUCUGUGAAUCUGACCUUAAUUAAGUCAAUAGACCACUUCUGAAUAAAGAUGCGAAUUAUGUUGGAUAUUCAGUAGCUAUUCACUUUUUUGUUAAUGUGUAUCAUGGUGGUUGGCAUUGUGUUUCUGAAAAUCCUUUGUGUCCGGAGAAAUUUGAAUAGAGUGCAACAUACAAAUUAAUGCAUAAAUAUAAUAUAUCUUUAUGUUGUGACAAUAUUAGCCAUACAGAAAUGAAUCUCUGCAUCUUAUAGUACUGAAGGAAUGCAUACUUUCACUAAAAGCUGGAAAGAUGUAUCUGGAAUUACCCACUGUCUCUGAAGAUUUUCUGAAAAAAUUAAUCUCCGUACACAGUCAAUACUGGGUUGCUAAUGUAACUGGGUGCACAAAUGUGUGCUGCCAGAUGCACAUACCAUUAGGUAUUAUUUUGUGACUACUAUGGUCUUGGAAAAAACUGAAUCUCUUACAAAUGCACACAAUUGUGCCUUUUGCACACAUAUUAAUGCAUCAAAAUGACUGGUCCUUGUUAUUUUACAUACUGAAACUAAAAUAUCUGACCAAACAAAGCUGGAUUCUUAGCAUUUAUCAGUAAAAAGAAGAGAUUUAUGUUGUGAUUGACUGACAACCUUUUUAUUUUGUAUAAUAUGUCCUAUUGAGUUCUAUUGAAAAGUUCAGUAUGGCAUUUAUUCACAUUUAAUUAGCACCUCUCGGGAUUAAUACCUCAUUUUAUCAAGCUAAUGCAACCUUAAUAUAAAAAGAUGUAAAUUCAAUAUGAUAACAACAUGUACCUGGCUGUUUUAAUUAAUCUGUCUAAACUGAACAUGCUGCUUCAAAUUUAUAAAGAUCAAGCUUUAAACUACCUCUGGAAUUCUCAUUAUAUUAAUUGGAUGCUGUGCUCUUUUUGUUGUUCAGUGUAUGUAAUAGGCACUAUGACCCCUGUUGACCCUAGUGGGCAUGCAUUGUAAGGGAAUAAUCCAUGCUUUAGCACAGUUUUGCAGUAAAUAAUACAUCAGGAUUGCGCAUGACCCAUAAUUCCAUUGAGUUAGAUGGAGUUAAACCAAGGAUGGAUAAAAGCCUACUUCUUAUUUUGUCUAUGGUUUUUUGUCUCCUUUUAGAUUUGUGUAAUUUACAGUGGAACUUUUUUUAUAGGUCAAAAAACUGCCAAAGAUGACUGUUGAUAGAACUAUUUUCACCUUGAGCUUUGGAUAUUCAGAACUGUUAAAAACACUUGAGGUAUUUUCUUCAUAUAACAUUCAAAACUCUUCAUUUUAUACUUUUAUACCUUUUAUGAACCAACCUUUGUGUAAAGAAGUUCUUCCACCUAUUCAUUUCUUUAUUGCCUACUUCUUUAUUUACUUAUAUCUGUGCCCUUUUAUUCAGGUGAUUUCAAUAGACUAUAUAGCUUUGAAUCCUCUAUACAUUCUAGUCUCUAGAAUUAUUUGUAUCUAUGGCCCCUUAUUCAGAUAAUUUCAAUAGAUGAAAUAGUCUUGUAGCCCCUAUGAUCUUUAUUUCCUAUAGUUACACUAUCUUUAUGUGUCAAAACACUUUCUUCACUGCAGAAUACAGGAUGAAUUUCUCCUAUCCUUUUCAAUAAUUGAUAUCCUUGAGGCCCAGUGCCAGUCUGCUUGUCCUUAUGUUUGUGCCAUGCUUUGUAAAAAUAAGACAAGUAACAUGAUUUGCAUAGAAUGUAAUCUCCAGUGUCCACAGGAUCUUUGCACAGUGGCAAACACAAUAUGGCUCCAGGUUCAUUAUAGACAGAUGCUAUACAAAGUGCCCAUAGUUCAUAACAUAACAUAACAUAACAUAACAUAACAUAACAUAACAUAACAUAACAUAACUAUGUGGACAAGUCAGUGCAGGACCACAAAGUAGAUUCCUUUAUAAUGUGCAAUUGUAGCUCCUGUGAUUGUCUAUUUAUUUACAUUAGUAUGAUUUUAUUCCUAUUUAGAAUUUUAGUGUAUAGCCGUGUGAAGUUUUAGUCACAGUGAGGUCUGCAAACUAAAAUAUCUGCCUUUCUAUUUUUGUGCACCAAAUGUCCAUCAUCUGAUCUCAAUUUAAUUGACUCAGUCUGGAUUAGAUGGGCCUUUGUCACCUUUGUGUCAUAAGAAAAUGUAAUCGGUUCAUUGUAUAUUCAUUCUUCCAGGUCACAGGUAAA